GUGAAUCAUCAAAUCUUUGAACGCAAAUUGCACUCUCUGGUUUUCCGUGAGAGUAUGCUUUUUUGCGGGUCUUCCUAAAUAAAAGCGAUAUUGUGUCUGUGUUAUUGUUACUUUCGCCGCAGAUGGGUUAUCUUAAAUCUCGGUUUAAGCGGCUUAAAAAUUUUUGGUACGAUUCUAAGAAUGUUCCUAGGAUUUUUCUUGUACGUUUAAGGUAUCGAAUGUCUUAUUAGUCGUGGCCGUCAUAUCGUGUGGUGUCCAUUA
rnacentral:misc_RNA from 1 species